CAAAAUAAACCUGCCACUAAUCCUACACCUCAACCCUGUUGAUCCUCACCUGCAGGUCUAACCCCUACAUCAAGAAAUGGUGCACCGGGUUGUAAACAACAAACCCGGUAAGCUAAAAAGCUCGUAUGAGUAAACUCAAAAAUAACACAACAUUUAUCACAUUCAAUAUUCCACAAGAGAGGUUUGGAUCAAUAAUUAAAAACCACACAUCCAACACAUUACCCAAGAAAUGUACCCAUGAGUCCCAGAUAUUUAAUAAAAUACCCCUCAUGACUUACAACAACACUAUGUGUACCCAUGGGUCCCAGAUACCAUACAGUAUCUCCCAUGACCAACACUGACAGACGGACUAGAGCUCUAUUCCUAACCGCAACCAAUCACCCGGCUAAAGACUUGGAACUCGGUUUGACUGUCUAAUAUCAAACAUAAAAAUGAUAAAUAGCAACUUAACCGCAACCAAUCACCUAAAUAAGGGCUUGGAACCCGGUUUGGCUAUUUAUCCAACAAUCAUAAUAUCGCAACAUUAUCCUCAACAACACAAUAUCACAUAAUUAUUCUUAACAACACAAUAUCACAUCAUUAUUCUCAACAACACAAUACCACAUCAUAAAUUAUAUCCUAUCACAUGGAUAUAUUUACAUGAACAAUUAUAGAUAUUCCACAAGAAUAAUCUAUCCAAAAAUCAAUAAAAUUAUAAUCACAUGAAUCUCAAAAUAGCAUUUAAAGAAAACUUGUUUUAUCUUACCUAUAAGCCGUUGACGAUCAAACUCAUAUAUUUUUAAAACAAUAAAAGCAUAUUAUUAAAUCCAACAUUAUCUUCAUUAUCAUCAUCACAUGACCAUAAUAAUCAUUGGUUCAAAAGUGAACCUUAGUGAGAUUUACUCACCAAGAUAGCCCGCUGCGUUUCCGCAAAACACAAGAGCAAGCCAACUCACAAUUUCACAAAUCACCUAAAAUAACACACAUGUUAACCUUAGUAACAAACACAACAAGGAUCAAAGUACUCUUAACUUAAAGGUUGCCCCCAAGAAGGGCAAUCCUUCCUCCAAGACCUCCCAAGGUCAUUGAACACUCAACAACAACCAAACUACCUUCAAGAUCAAACUUUCUAAGUUUCCGAUCUAAUGAACACCAAUAAACUUAAGUCCUAGCAUGCCAACCUUGCUUAAAAUCUAGCCAUACUACCACUCAACAAGCUCACAGCAGCAAGGACUAGCUAACCACAGGAAACUAAGGCCGCCACUCAGCCGGACGCGCAGCCACAGGCCGCGGCGAGUGGGCCCCACGCGCCACCCCAAACUUCUGAAUUUGAGAAAACUCCCAACAGCAAAGUUGAAACUUGAAGCAAGGGGAACAACUUUCAUACCUGAGACUUCGACCAAAAAUGGCCGGAACCGGCCGGAAACUGCCCCGAAAACAGCAGCCACAAACAAACCCCAAAACCUGCAAAUCCGGCACCCAAACUUGAUUUUUAGGUCACUAAAGAGGCAUGAACAUCCCUAGAAGAGAGAGGGAAGCAAGACUCACCUUUAUUUGGCCGGAAUCGGCGUCGAAAUCGCCGGUUUUCCGGUAGGACAGCAGCAGCUCCGCCGCUUCGUGGCGGCUUCCAGGCGGCGGGACAGCGGCUAAAACUGCUCCAGGAAUGGAGAGGGCAGCUGUGGGGUUCGAGCGGGACCGGCGGCGUCCGG
rnacentral:lncRNA from 1 species